rnacentral:rRNA from 1 species
UGCAAGUCGAGCGGUAGCACAGAGAGCUUGCUCUCGGGUGACGAGCGGCGGACGGGUGAGUAAUGUCUGGGAAACUGCCUGAUGGAGGGGGAUAACUACUGGAAACGGUAGCUAAUACCGCAUAACGUCGCAAGACCAAAGUGGGGGACCUUCGGGCCUCAUGCCAUCAGAUGUGCCCAGAUGGGAUUAGCUAGUAGGUGGGGUAACGGCUCACCUAGGCGACGAUCCCUAGCUGGUCUGAGAGGAUGACCAGCCACACUGGAACUGAGACACGGUCCAGACUCCUACGGGAGGCAGCAGUGGGGAAUAUUGCACAAUGGGCGCAAGCCUGAUGCAGCCAUGCCGCGUGUGUGAAGAAGGCCUUCGGGUUGUAAAGCACUUUCAGCGGGGAGGAAGGCGAUAAGGUUAAUAACCUUGUCGAUUGACGUUACCCGCAGAAGAAGCACCGGCUAACUCCGUGCCAGCAGCCGCGGUAAUACGGAGGGUGCAAGCGUUAAUCGGAAUUACUGGGCGUAAAGCGCACGCAGGCGGUCUGUCAAGUCGGAUGUGAAAUCCCCGGGCUCAACCUGGGAACUGCAUUCGAAACUGGCAGGCUAGAGUCUUGUAGAGGGGGGUAGAAUUCCAGGUGUAGCGGUGAAAUGCGUAGAGAUCUGGAGGAAUACCGGUGGCGAAGGCGGCCCCCUGGACAAAGACUGACGCUCAGGUGCGAAAGCGUGGGGAGCAAACAGGAUUAGAUACCCUGGUAGUCCACGCCGUAAACGAUGUCGAUUUGGAGGUUGUGCCCUUGAGGCGUGGCUUCCGGAGCUAACGCGUUAAAUCGACCGCCUGGGGAGUACGGCCGCAAGGUUAAAACUCAAAUGAAUUGACGGGGGCCCGCACAAGCGGUGGAGCAUGUGGUUUAAUUCGAUGCAACGCGAAGAACCUUACCUGGUCUUGACAUCCACAGAACUUAGCAGAGAUGCUUUGGUGCCUUCGGGAACUGUGAGACAGGUGCUGCAUGGCUGUCGUCAGCUCGUGUUGUGAAAUGUUGGGUUAAGUCCCGCAACGAGCGCAACCCUUAUCCUUUGUUGCCAGCGGUUAGGCCGGGAACUCAAAGGAGACUGCCAGUGAUAAACUGGAGGAAGGUGGGGAUGACGUCAAGUCAUCAUGGCCCUUACGACCAGGGCUACACACGUGCUACAAUGGCAUAUACAAAGAGAAGCGACCUCGCGAGAGCAAGCGGACCUCAUAAAGUAUGUCGUAGUCCGGAUUGGAGUCUGCAACUCGACUCCAUGAAGUCGGAAUCGCUAGUAAUCGUAGAUCAGAAUGCUACGGUGAAUACGUUCCCGGGCCUUGUACACACCGCCCGUCACACCAUGGGAGUGGGUUGCAAAAGAAGUAG